rnacentral:lncRNA from 1 species
GUAUUGUGUUCAUUUUAUUUUUGUCUAUGUAUAUCUUAUUUCUUUUCUCAGGCGAGCGAUGUCGGAGGAAGAUAUUUCUGUUGAUCAUAUAGGUACCGAGUCUACAGGUACUGACGUGGUUGAUUUGGAGUUUGACGACAAGGAUAUUCCCGUUGCACCUGGGAGGUACAAGUUGGCGGUGGCUAUUAGUAACGAGGUUACGC